rnacentral:tRNA from 1 species
GGGGGUUUAGCUCAGUGGUAGAGCACAUGUUUGGCAUGCAUGAGGUCCUGGGUUCAAUCCUCACUGCCUCUG